rnacentral:rRNA from 1 species
UACGUAGGGGGCAAACGUUGUCCGGAUUUACUGGGCGUAAAGAGCGCGCAGGCGGUCGUUCAAGUCGCGUGUGAAAGCCCCCGGCUCAACUGGGGAGGGUCACGCGAUACUGAUCGACUCGAAGGCAGGAGAGGGAAGUGGAAUUCCCGGUGUAGUGGUGAAAUGCGUAGAUAUCGGGAGGAACACCAGUGGCGAAGGCGACUUCCUGGCCUGUUCUUGACGCUGAGGCGCGAAAGCUAGGGGAGCAAACGGG